AGAGUUGAGUGGUUAAAAGCAGUUGUUGCUCCUGCAGGGGAUCCAGCUUUAGUGUUCAGCACCAGCAUGAUGCAGCGUCACAGCCAUCCGUAAUUCCAGUUCCAGGAGACCCAGUACUCUGUUCUGACAUCUGUGGACACUAGGCACACAUGCGGUCCACAGACACAUGAAGUAAAGCACUCAUAGACAUAAAGUAAAAUGUAAAGGCUUAGGAAAGGUUACAGAAACAGUUGAUACUUUGGAUAUUUUGAGGCCGUGUCUCACUGCAUUGCCCUGGGUAACAGCAGACUCUCGCAUCUCUGCUUCGUCUUACCCAGUACUAAAUAUAAAUAUAGUGGGUACUGGUAAUUGAACCAGGGUUUCCUGGAAGAGCAGCCAGUGUUAAGUUGCUAAGGAACUACCUCUACUUUGUUGUAAGACUGAAUGUUGAAAGAACUCACUAUAGAGCCUUAAUGCUGUAUUCAUUAUCCUGUGUCUAUAGAGGGAAGCCAAGGCAGGAACUGGUCGAUGCAGAGGCCAUGGAGAAAGUCUGCUUUCUGGCUUGUAUCCCACGGCUUGCUCAGCCUGCUUUCUUAUACAGCUAAGGACCACCUGCCCAGGGGCGAUACCACCCCAGCCCAACACCCACAUCCAUCAGUAGUCAAGGCGAUGCUGGAAAACCUUGUCCACAGAGCAGUGUGGCCUCGCCCGUGCCAAGCUGACAUAAGAGUCAGCACAGUGAGAUGUGACAGUCUCAUUAUCAGUUGCAUUUCCAUGAACAAGCAAACAAAAAUGAACAAUGAUAAAAAAGUAUUCAAAAACUGCUCAGAAAUAAACUCUAGAGGCAGAGAGAGGCAAGAGGAUUCCUGCGUUUGAGGCUAGCUCAGUCUGUAAAGCCCUUUAGGGAAUUUUUAAAAAACUCAGUAAGAAGAUUAACCUAAUUGAAAAAUAGCCAAAGUUAGCCGCAAAUGUAUACUCAGGCUGAAGGAGAAGGGUUACCAAAGCCCGGAGUUUGAGGCCCACUGGACAACUACCUGUUGGAGAGGAGACCCUGACAGUUAAUGAACUGCUGUGAGCAUCAAACCCACGGUGAGACCUCACACCAGCAUAGGGGAACAGCGUCUGAGCAACAGAGAACAAGACCUGGAAGGCUGGGAAGAAGGGAAAUGCCACACACGCUGCUAACUCACUGAGCAGCGCAUCUGCUCAUAGGAAAAGCUAAGUGCCGGUCUCGUAGCUAACCACAGUUCCGGUCUAAGAGCAAGAAACAAAUACUCAGUGUAGGCAAGCACAGCACUGCUCACACCAGUGUCCCCCAUCAGGACCUACAGGUCAGACUUAGCACAUCCGUGCAAUGGGUAAUUUUCAAGCACUGGCUGCAGAGUCUGAAACAUGCACGUAAGUGAGAGGAGUCAGAGGAGGGUGGCAUAGUGUAUGAUUACGUUUUAUUAAAGGUCCAGGUAGUCAACAGAAAAGCAAGAUGGGAGCAAUGGGAGCCUGGGAAGGCAAAGGAGUGGGGGAAACCACCAAGCAGAGUAUUACAAACUGGUGUGGUAGGCGUGUUGAUUGCGUGGUAGGUUGCUUUUCUGUGGUGGGCAUGUUACUACUGAGCUCUCCUCCUAGUCCAGCGUCUUCCCUCCCCCUUUGCUGACAUUCUGUUUGCCUGCUUGAGGUUACUGUAGUGAUGACAGACAGGUGUGCCUCUCACUGUGUAAACUAGGCUUCUGCCUUUCAAGUGCCACCAUGUCCAAUCCAGUUAUUCCAGCCAGCCAUGGUUACCUAGGCCUUUAAUCCCAGUACUCAGCAGGCAGAGAGAUGUGUGGAUCUCAGUGAGUUCAAGUCCAGCCUAGUGCAAAUAGAACUCCAGGCUAACCCAGGCUAACCCAGGCUGCACGACAAGACCAAAGUUUAAUUUAAUAAGUGAAAUUCAUCUAAAUUUAUUAAAAAGGAUACGAUCUUGCCUUCUACAAAAGUAGUUUUGUGGCUAGAGGUGGAGAUGCAUAUCUUUUAUCACUAGGCUCUAGUGAGGCAGAGGCAGAGGCAAAGGCAGGUAGAUCUCUGAGUUUGAGGCUGGCCUAGUCUAACAAAGUGAGUUCAGGACAGCCAGGGCUCUGUUACACAAAGAAAUCCCGUCUCAGGAAAAAAACUAACGAACCAACCAAAGAGUAGAUUUGUGAGUUUGAGGACAGAGAGACACCCUG
rnacentral:lncRNA from 1 species